rnacentral:rRNA from 1 species
GACGAACGCUGGCGGCGUGCCUAAUACAUGCAAGUCGAACGCAGUGGGGACGGGUGAGUAACACCUGGGUAACCUCCCAUCAGAGGGGAUAACACUUGGCAACAGGUGCUAAACCGCUACUGAUGGAUGGACCCGCGGGGCAUUAGCUAGUUGGUGAGGUAACGGCCCACCAAGGCCACGAUGCAUAGCGGGCCGGAGAGGGUGAUCGGCCACACUGGAACUGAGACACGGCCCAGACUCCUACGGGAGGCAGCAGUAGGGAAUCUUCCGCAAUGGGCGAAAGUCUGACCGAGCAACGCCGCGUGAGUGAAGAAGGUUUUCGGGUCGUAAAACUCUGUUGUUAGAGAAGCGUUAUCUAACCAGAAAGCCACGGCUAACUACGUGCCAGCAGCCGCGGUAAUUC